rnacentral:rRNA from 1 species
CCUACGGGUGGCAGCAGUGGGGAAUAUUGCACAAUGGGGGAAACUCUGAUGCAGCGACGCCGCGUGAGUGAAGAAGUAUUUCUGGAUGUAAAGCUCUAUCUGCAGGGGAGUAAAUGACGGUACCUGAUUAAGAAGCCCCGUCUAACUACGUUCCAGCAGCCGCGGUACUACGGCGGGGGCAAGCGUUAUCCGGAUUUACUGGGUGUAAAGGGAGCGUAGACGGCAGCACAAGUCUGGAGGGAAAUGCCGGGGCUUAAACCCGGAACUGCUUUGGAAACUGUGCAGCUAGAGUGCAGGAGAGGUGAGUGGAAUUCCUGGUGUAGCGGUGAAAUGCGUAGAUAUUAGGAAGAACACCAGUGGCGAAGGCGGCUUACUGGACUGUAACUGACGUUGAGGCUCGAAAGCGUGGGGAUCAAACAGGAUUAGAUACCCUUGUAGUC